rnacentral:rRNA from 1 species
GAUGAACGCUGGCGGCGUGCCUAAUACAUGCAAGUCGAACGCUGGAAAUCUAGCUUGCUAGAUUGAAGGAGUGGCGAACGGGUGAGUAAUACAUAAGCAACCUACCCACGAAGACUGGGAUAAUCUCUGGAAACGGGGACUAAUACCGGAUAGGUAAUCGGAAGGCAUCUUCUGAUUAUUAAAGGUUAAAAACACUGGUGGAUGGGCUUAUGGCGCAUUAGUUAGUUGGUGAGGUAACGGCCCACCAAGACGAUGAUGCGUAGCCGGCCUGAGAGGGUGAACGGCUACAUUGGGACUGAGACACGGCCCAGACUCCUACGGGAGGCAGCAGUAGGGAAUUUUCGGCAAUGGGGGAAACCCUGACCGAGCAACGCCGCGUGAGUGAUGACGGCCUUCGGGUUGUAAAGCUCUGUUGUAAGGGAAGAACGGUAGAUAGAGAAUAUCUAAAUGACGGUACCUUACCAGAAAGCCACGGCUAACUACGUG